AAUCAACGCUGGCGGCGUGCCUCAGACAUGCAAGUCGAACGAUUAAAGCUCUCUUCGGAGAGUGUAUAGAGUGGCGCACGGGUGAGUAACACGUAAGUAAUCUACCCUCGAGUGGGGAAUAACAACCGGAAACGGUUGCUAAUACCGCAUAAUGCAGCGGCACCGCAAGGUGACAGUUGUUAAAGAUUUAUCGCUUGAGGAGGAGCUUGCGGCAGAUUAGCUAGUUGGUAGGGUAACGGCUUACCAAGGCUACGAUCUGUAACCGGUCUAAGAGGACGGUCGGUCACACUGACACUGAAUAACGGGUCAGACUCCUACGGGAGGCAGCAGUCGGGAAUUUUGGGCAAUGGGCGAAAGCCUGACCCAGCAACGCCGCGUGAAGGAUGAAGUAUUUCGGUAUGUAAACUUCGAAAGAAUAGGAAGAAUUAAUGACGGUACUAUUUAUAAGGUCCGGCUAACUACGUGCCAGCAGCCGCGGUAAAGUCGAU
rnacentral:rRNA from 1 species